rnacentral:rRNA from 1 species
GUCACUGCUAUCGGGGUUCGAUUAAGCCAUGCGAGUCGAGAGGGUUCGGCCCUCGGCGGACUGCUCAGUAACACGUGGAUAACCUGCCCUAAGGUGGGGCAUAACCCCGGGAAACUGGGGAUAAUACCCCAUAGGUUAGAGAUGCUGGAAUGCCCUUUAACCCAAAGCUCCGGCGCCUUAGGAUGGAUCUGCGGCCGAUUAGGUAGUUGUUGGGAUAAUGGCCCAACAAGCCUGUAAUCGGUACGGGUUGUGGGAGCAAGAGCCCGGAGAUGGACUCUGAGACACGAGUCCAGGCCCUACGGGGCGCAGCAGGCGCGAAAACUUUACAAUGCAGGGAACUGUGUUAAGGGAACCCCGAGUGCCCGUAUACGCGGGCUGUCCAGGUGUUUAAAACGCAUCUGAAGAAAGGGCCGGGCAAGACCGGUGCCAGCCGCCGCGGUAAUACCGGCGGCUCGAGUGGUGGCCACUUUUAUUGGGCUUAAAGCGUCCGUAGCUUGGUGUUAAGUCUCUUGGGAAAUCUCACGGCUUAACCGUGAGCGUCUAAGGGAUACUGGCAACCUAGGGACCGGAAGAGGUGAGAGGUACUYCAGGGGUAGGAGUGAAAUCCUGUAAUCCUUGGGGGACCACCUGUGGCGAAGGCGUUUUACCAGGACGGGUYCGACAGUGAGGGACGAAAGCUGGGGGAGCMAACCGGAUUAGAUACCCGGGUAGUCCCAGCCGUAAACGAUGCGCGUUAGGUGUAUYGGUGACCACGAGUUACCGAGGUGCCGAAGGGAAACCGUGAAACGGGCCGCCUGGGAAGUACGGUUGCAAGGCUGAAAAUUAAAGGAAUUGGCGGGGGAGCACCACAACAGGUGGAGCCUGCGGUUUAAUUGGAAUUAAAGCCGGGAAGCUUACCGGAUAAGACAGCGGAAUGAUUGCCGGGCUGRAGAMUUUGCAUGAMUAGCUGAGAGGAGGUGCAUGGCCGUUGUCAGUUUGUACUGUGAAGCAUCCUGUUAUAGUCAGG